rnacentral:rRNA from 1 species
AUUGAACGCUGGCGGCAGGCCUAACACAUGCAAGUCGAGCGGAUGAGAAGAGCUUGCUCUUCGAUUCAGCGGCGGACGGGUGAGUAAUGCCUAGGAAUCUGCCUGGUAGUGGGGGACAACGCCUCGAAAGGAACGCUAAUACCGCAUACGACCUACGGUAGAAACCAGGGGACCUUCGGGCCUUGCGCUACCAGUUGAGCCUAGGUCGGAUUAGCUAGUUGGUGAGGUAAUGGCUCACCAAGGCGACGAUCCGUAACUGGUCUGAGAGGAUGAUCAGUCACACUGGAACUGAGACACGGUCCAGACUCCUACGGGAGGCAGCAGUGGGGAAUAUUGGACAAUGGGCGAAAGCCUGAUCCAGCCAUGCCGCGUGUGUGAAGAAGGUCUUCGGAUUGUAAAGCACUUUAAGUUGGGAGGAGGGGCAGUAAGUUAAUACCUUGCUGUUUUGACGUUACCGACAGAAUAAGCACCGGCUAACUCUGUGCCAGCAGCCGCAGUAAAAC